rnacentral:lncRNA from 9 species
UUUUAAUUUUUUUAAUAUUCCACAUAAAAGUCAAGACAUGAAAGCAACCUAAAUGUCCAUCAACAGAGGAAUGGAUAAAGAAGAUGUGAUACAUUUAUACAAUGGAAUAUUGCUUCAUAAAAAGCAUGAAAUAAUGCCAUCUGCAGCAACAUGUAUGAACCUAGAAACUAUCAUAUUAAGUGAAGUUAGAGAGUGAAAGACAAACAUCAUAUGAUAUCAUACUGCUCUUUAACCUGUGUCAGGUCCUAUACAUUUAUCAUAACUGUGUCAGAAAAAAAUGUUUCCCCCAAACAAUUAAUAUACCUUCUUAUUUCUAAUAGUACAGGAUGUAGGCCAAACAUUAGGCUUACUUUAUGCAGAGAUGCCAGCUACCUCAUCUGUAUUUUUUUCUUCAUUAGAACUGUAUUGACCUUUAGUCCACUUUAAUCAUUUCUCUCAUCUCCUCUCAGGUCUGGUGUCCCUUUUCUUUGACUUUCUUUCUCUUACUGCAUAUAUACUAUUUGUUUAAGUUUCUCCAAAUCAUGUUUGAAAAGACUCACUGAAUAAAGUACUUAGUAGUAAAAUUUAAAAGUUAGGCAUUUAGGAGGCAUGAAAAUGGAACAGUUUAAAGAGAAAAAAGACUUCCAAUAUAAUUUUUUCUUAUAGACAAAAUAGCUAAAUAAAACAUGCUCUCUUACCCUUUAGAUAUGAACUUUAAAUAUAAAAAUACAAAUAAUUGGAAAAAUAUGUCCAAUCAUGACAAACUUGGUAAGGUUACCAGUACUAAAUCAUAGAAGUUCUAUGUUUGCAUGAGUUAGUCAACUGGUUUAGUUGGAUGGUUCAGUUACUCAAUUAAAUUCUUGAAAUUCAACCACUAUGGAAAUGAUGACCAGAAAAAUGACUUAGUCAAGGGUUAGAAUUAAAGACCAUGUUCUGGGAGAGAUUUAGGACAGGGAUGCGAGAACUACAUAGAUGAAGUAAUGAGGACAUUUGCCAGAAAACAAUUGCACAAGCCUUCUCAAGUUGGAUUGGGAGGAAGUGAUAGAGUUGAAACACUCUAGAUGAAGCUUUGAAAAAGAAGACGUGAUCUGUCACUUUACCUCAUAAAAGCAAAAAAAUUACAACCAACUACUGAACAACCCUCCACCAAAUAGACUUCAAACUAUCAAAAAAGAUAUCUUACUCCAGAAGACAAAAAGGAGGCCACAUCAAGAUGGUUGGAGGGGUGAUUAUGUGAUAUAAGCAACCCCAUACCCACUGGGUGGCAGCCCACAGACUGGAGAGUAAUUGUAUCACAGCGACUCACCUAUGAGAGUGAGAGUUCUGAGUCUCAAGUCAUGUCCUCAUGCCUGGGGAUCUGGCAUUGGGAGAAGGAUCCCUGGAGCAUUUGGUAUUGAAGGUCAGUGGGUUUGUGUGCAGGAGCUCUAUAGGACUGGGGGAAAUAGAGACCCCAUUCUUGACAGGUACACACAGACUUUCAUGUGUACUGGGUCCAAGGGCAAAGCAAAGACUCCAUAGGAAUCUGAGUCAUACCUGACUGCAAUUCUUGGAGGAUCUCCUGGGAAAACAGGGGAUGACUGUGGCUCAUUGUGGGGGAAGGACAUUGGAGCAAAGGCUCAGGAAUAAUCAACAGUGUGUGAUCCUCUAGAAGUGGUCAUUUUGGAAAAAUCUGGGCCCACCCAUCAGGGCUGAGAAACCCCAGGCAAAACAAUAGCCUGGGUGGGAUCACAUCACCUAUCAGCAAACAGACUGACUAUAGACCCCCCCCCAGGCACAUAGCCACCUCUAAUCUCACCAAUAGACAAAGCUGCACCCAUCAGAGGGAGAAGAAUCAUCUCCACCUACCAGUGGGAAGGCACCAGUGCUUCCCAUUAGAAAGCCUACAGCCAACCCCCUUAAUAAGGAGGCAGACAGCAGAAGCAAGAGAGGCUACAACUUUAUUGUCUGCAAAAGGAGACCACACCAAAAAUCUAUACAAAAUGAAAAGGCAGGGAAUUAUGACUCAGAUAAGGGAGCAAGAAAAAACAAACAGAAAAACAGCUAAGUGAUCUGGAGAUGGUCAACCUCCAUGAAAAAGACUUUAGACUGAUAAUAGUGAAGAUGAUUCAAAAUCUUGGAAAUAAACUGGAGGCAAAGAUUUGUAAAUUACAAGAAACAUUGAGCAAACACAUAAAGAUUUAAGGAUUAAGCAAGCAGAGAUGCAAAAUGCAAUAACUGAAAUGAAAAAAUUCAUUAGAAGCAACGAAUAGCAGAAUACAGGAGGCAGAGGAAAAAAUAAAUGAGAUGGAGGACAGACUAGUGGAAAUCACUGAUGUGGAACAGAAGAGAAAAAAAUUGAAAAGAAAUGAAAACACUCUAAAUAACUCCGGGACAACAUUAAACACACUAACAUUGGUAUUAUAGGGGUGCAAGAAAGAGAAGAGAGAGAAAGGGCCAGAAAAAAAAUAGUUAAAGAGAUAUAUCUGAAAACUUCCCUAACAUGGAAAAGGAAUCACUCACUCAAAUCCAGGAAGCACAAUGAGUACCAUAUAAAAUAAUCCCAAGGAGGAACACCUCAAGACACAUAUUAAUCAAACUGACCGAAAUUAAAGACAGAGAGAAAACAUUGAAAGGAGAUAGGGAAAAGAAACGAAUAACACACAAGGGAACCCCAAUAAGGUUAUUGGCAGAUUUUUUCAGCAGAAACUCUGCAGGCCGGAAGGGGGUGGCAUGAUAUUCUUAAAGUGAUGAAAGGAAAAAACCACCAGUGAAGAAUAUUCCACCCAGCAAGGCUCUCAUUCAGAUUUGAAGGACAAAUCAAAAGAUUUACAGACAAGCAAAAGCUAAUAGAAUUCAGUGCCACUAAACCUGCUUUACAACAAAUACUAAAGGAACUUCUCUAGUUGGAAAAGAAAAGGCCACAACUAUAAACAAAAAUAUUACAAGUGACAAGUGUCACCUGUAAAGGCAAACAUAUAGUAAAGGUAGGAAAUCAUCCAUAUACAAAUAUGCUACCAAAAUCAGAAAUCAUGAGAUGAAGAGAAUACAAAUGCAGGACUCUGGAGAUGCACUUGAAAUUAAGAGACCAACAACUUAAAAAAACCUUGCAUAUAUAUAGACUCCUAUAUCAAAACAUCAGGAUAACUGCAAACCAAAAAUCUACACAUGCAAAUAAGAAAAAGCAAUCCAAAUAUGACACUAAAGUUAGUCAUGAAACCACAAGAGGAGAUAACAAGAGAAGAUGGGAAGAAAAAAGACCAACAAAAACAAAUCCAAAACAGUUAAUAAAAUGGCAAUAAGAACAUACAUAUCAAUAAUUACCUUAAAUGUAAAUUGACUAAAUGCCCCAACCAAAAGACGCAGACUGGCUGAAUGGAUACAAAAACAAGACUCAUAUAUAUGCUGUCUUCAAGAGAUCCACUUCAGUUCUAAUGACACAUACAAAUUGAAAGUGAGAGAAUGGAAGAAAAUAUUUCAUGCAAUAGGAAUCAAAAGAAAGCUGGAGUAGCAAUAUUCAUAUCAGACAAAUUAGACCUUAAUAUAAAGAAUAUUAUAAGAAACAAAGAAGGACAUUACAUAAUGAUCAAAAAAUCAAUUCAAGAAGAAGCUAUAACAAUUAUAAAUAUAUAUGUACCCAAAUGGGAUGAUCUCAAUAUAUAAAGCAACUGCUAAUAAUCUUAAAAGGAGAAAUUGAUAACACAAUAAUAGCAGGGGACUUUAACAGCCCAAUUACAGGAAUGGACUGAUUGUCCAGACAGAAAAUCAAUAAGGAAACACAGGCCCUGAAUGAAGUAUUUGACCAGAUGGACUUAAUAGAUAUUUAUAGGACAUUCCAUCCAAAAGCAGCAGAUACACAUUCUUCUCAAGGGCACAUGGAACAUUCUCUAAGAUUGAUCACAUUCUGGGCUACAAAUCAAGCCUUGGUAAAUUUAAGAAAAUUGAAAGCAUAUCUAGCAUCUUUUCUGGCCACAGCACUAUAGCACUGGAAAUCAACAAGAACAAAAUUUCAAAAAACACAAACAUGUGGAGACUAAACAACAUGUUACUAAACGAACAAUGGACCACUGAAGAAAUCAAAGAGGAAAUUAAAAAAAACCUAGAAGCAAAUGACAACAAAGACACAACACUCCAAAACCUAUGAGAUGCAGCAAAAGCAGUUCUAAGAGGGACGUUUAUAGCAAUAGAAGCUCACCUCAGGAAACAAGAAAAAGCUCAAAUAAACAACCUAACUUUACAGCUAAAGCAGCUAGAGAGAGAAGAACAGACAAGACCUAAAGUUAGCAAAAGGAAAGAAAUCAUAAAGAUCAAAAUAGAAAUCAUUGAAAUAGAAAUGAAGAAAGCCAUAGUAAAGAUCAAUGAAACUGAAAGCUGGUUCUUUGAAAAGAUCAACAAAAUGAUAAACUCAGCCCAACUCAUCAAGAAAAAAGAGAGAGGGCUCAAAUCAAUAAAAUUAGAAAUGAAAAAGGAGAAAUUACAAAGGACAUCACAUAAAUACAAAGGAUCAUAAAAGACUUCUACUAGCAACUAUAUGCCAAUAAAAUGGACAACCUAGAAGAAAUGGACAUAUUCUUAGAAAAGUACAAUCUUCCAAGAGUAAACCAAGAUGAAAUGGAAAAGAUGAACUGACGGAUCACAAGUACUGAAAUUGAAACUGUGAUUGAAAAACUUCCAACAAACAAAAGUACAGAACCAGAGAGUUUCACAGGCAAAUUCUCUCAAACAUUUAGAGAAGAGCUAACACCUAUCCUUCUGAAACUAUUCCAAAAAAUCGCAGAGGAAGGGACACUCCCAAACUCAUUCUUUGAGGCCACCAACACCCUGAUACCAAAACCAGACAAAGAUGCCACAAAAAAGAAAACUACAGGCCAAUAUCACUGAUGAACAUAGAUGCAAAAAUCCCCAACAAAAUACUAGCAAACCAAAUCCAACAAUACAUUAAAAGGAUGGUACAUCAUGAUCAAGUGGGAUUUAUCCCAAGGAUUCAAGGAUUCUUCAAUAUCUACACAUCAGUCAGUGUGAUACACCACAUUAACAAACUGAAGAAUAAAAAUCAUAUGAUUAUCUCAAUAGAUGCACAAAAAGCUUUGGACAAAAUGCAACACCCAUUUGUGAUAAAAACCCUCCAGAAAGUGGGCAUAGAAGGACAUAAUAAAGGCCAAAUAUAGGCCAAACACUGUCUGACAUAAACCACAGCUAACAUCAUCCUCAAUAGUGAAAAGCAGAAAGAAUUCCUUCUGAGAUCAGCAACCACAACAAGGAUGUCCACUUUUGCCACUACUAUUCAACAUAGUUUUGGAAGUCCUAGCUAUUGCAAUCAGAGAAGAAAAAUAAAUAAAAGGAAUUUGAAUUUGAAAGGAAGAAGUAAAACUAUCACUAUUUGCAGAUGACAUAAUAUGAUACCUAGAAAAUCCUGAAGACGCUACCAGAAAACUGUUAGAGCUCAUAAAUGAAUUUGGUAAAGUUAUAGAAUACAAAAUUAAAACACAGAAAUUGACUGCAUUUUUAUAUACUAACAAUAUGGAAACAAUCCCAUUUACCAUUACAUCAAAAAAAGAAUAAAACAGCUAGGAAUAAACCUAGGAAUAAAACAGCUAGGAAUAAACCUUUGUCCUAAAGAGACAAAGGACCUGUACUCCGAAAAUUAUAAGAUGCUGAUGAAAGAAAUCAAAGAUGACAUAAACAGAUGGAAAGACAUACCACAUCCUUGGAUUGGAAGAAUCAAUAGUGUCAAAAUGACUAUACUGCCAAAGGCAAUCUACUGAUUCAAUACAAUCCCUACCAAAUACCAAGGAAACACCUUGGGCAUAUAUCUAGUUAGUUAUGGGGGAAAGGAAAAGAAGGAUUUUUGAGAUAUGCAGACAUCUGCAUCAAGAUUUGCAAAGUGAUUGGAUUCUGAGAAGUUAUCCCAACUUUCUUGUUUGGAUUAGGAAUAUUUUCCUAAUCUAAUGUGAGACAGUGAAUGAAAAGCUCAUACUGGAGGGGAGCCCAAAGUGUCGUUUGAAAAUGAGCUCACUUGAGAGCAGAAAAUGAUACUGAACAAGGUUACAAGUGGAUUGGAAGGAUUUCAUCAAGCUCCUUCCUUUAUCUCUUUAAUCACAUGCCACAAAUCUGCAUUCUAUAAAGGUAAGACCCAAGAGCUACAUGGUACUUGGAUAAGAUUUUUUUUGUGUGUCCUGUGUCACAUCCUUUCAACCCCACUCUUAAUCCCUGCAGUCAGGGUGGAUAAUUGUGUGCAUGCUGAUAACAGCUCACCUCAGUCUGCCAAUUUAGCACCUUUCUGCUUUAUCUGUCCUACGGUUUUACCUGAAUCCAAGAAAGGAUGUUCCAAAGCAUGCAGGUGCUCCCCAGAAGUGAGGGGAAGUAACAGCCCUAGGAGCAUCUCUCAACCAGUGAAGGGUGGGUGUGGGUGGAUGUUUGCCUUCUGCUCCUUGGACAAUUCUGAGGAGCUUUCUGCGUAGUUGCUCACACCUCCCCAGCUGGACUGAGCUCCAGUUGCUCACACAAUAUCCAUAUCAGUAAUAUACAGUCUUAUUACUUUAGCUAGUUCCCAUCUUACUCACCACAUUUCCUUGUCUCUGCUUCCUGGGAUCACUUCCCAAAUAAAUGACUUAUACUCAAAUCUUUAUUUUACCUCUGCUUUCAAAGGGACCCAAACUAAAAUAGAGCUCGAGGUGGUUCUUUAGAUUACCUCUUUCUUACAACUUCUUAUGGGCCUGACUUAUUUUGGCUCUUAUUUCUUCCCAGCACCUGACCUUUUGCCUGAGUGCUCUUGAUACUGACCAUUGACCCAAGCAGCAGCCACUUUGAAUUUCUCCCUCCUAUUUGUUCUUCCAGCAAUUAGACUCAGUUCUCUUUUACAGGCUAUACAUUAAUUCAUUCCUUUGACUCUGCGUUUCUGAGUGGUGAAUCCUGUUUUAGUUCUGAAAAACCUCAAGCAGUUAGAGAAGUUCUCAGGCAAGAAUUCUGACCUAGAGGAAGGUAGAUUUAACUCUGAACAAUUACAAUCUCCCUCCAUCUAACCAGAGUAGCAACUAAAAUGCUUUCAAUUACUGGCUGUUGCCUUUAACACUUUUAUUGAUUCUAACCAAUAACAAAAGUUAUCAAUUGCUUUAUUCAGAGAUGUUAAGGCUUUUAACAAAUUUGUUGGAAUACAGUUGACUUGCAAUAUGGUAUUAGUUUCAGUUGUACAGCAAAGUGCAUCAGUUACCCAUAUGCAUAUAUACAUAUAUCCAUUCUUUUCCCAUAUAGGCUAUUACAGAGUACUGAGUAGAUGUUAAGGUUUAAAGUUGGAGGUGACAAGUAAAGUGUAACUCUCAGAAUGUCAUUAUAGUGGGUAUAUUUUUCUUUAUAUUGCCAGGCAUACUUUUGGGAUGUAUCUCCAAAUAACUACAUUCCAAAGGAAGACAUUUUAAACGUAUAGUAUAUUAUAAAAUGAAGUAAUCCUAAGACACAGAUAUCAAGGAGGGACAAUUUUUACAUUCAUUAAUUAGUUUCUUGUUUAAAUUUCUGUUGUCAACUCCAAUAACAUAUUUAUUUGAACCAACUUGCCCUUCUUUCAUUAAACUCACAGGUAACUAUCAAUUAUCAAUAAGAUGUUUGAAUCUCUAAGGUAAAAUAAAAUCAUUAUAAUGAUAGAUAAUGAGUUGGGAUAACAUUUUCAUGUCACAAUCAAUAUCCUCUUCCAAAAUAGCUUAUAAAGCAUUGACCCAUAUUGUCUUCAGGUCUGGUUGAUACUGCAAAAAUGAAACAAGAAAUUGACAAUAUUAAGCUGAUGAGUUUCUAAAAAGAUGUUGUAAUUCCAAAGCAAACAGGUAGUAGCUUUGAUAAAAUCAAUAUUUCUGAGUAUUAAGAACCUGUAUCUUUUUAAUUUUCAAAAUAUAUUUUUAUUAUUUUUUUAUUUUAGGUGCCUAUAUCUUUCAAGUGUCACAUCCCAAGAUGCUGACCCAAAGCAAAGUUACAAAAGAACAUGUGAUCAGUUAGAAUAAAUUACUGCCAGCAGCCCAAACUAGAUAGCAAUCACACAGCCUGACCAGAGAGAAAGAAAAGUCAGAAAUGAAGAAAAAAUAGAUUAAAUGCUUGGAGGCUGUCUGUAAAAAUGUUACAGCAUCCAUUCUCAUUCUUAGUUUCAGAUGCCAAUGUAGAGGGCUGGUCAUCCCUGAAGACUGGUUCAAUUGUACGUAGCAGCAGAUGCCAGGGAGAACAGAAUCUGAAUGCUUGGAUGAGAAUCUUCUCCCAUUGCCACGAAAGCUCAUGUAACCC